CAUAGCUCAUUAGCUGUGUGCAUACACAAAAUCAACACACACAUAUAUUAGCCAUGAAUCCCAAGCCCUUUUCUCUAUUUUUCAUACUUUUCUUGAUCGCAACCCUGCUUAUUUCGCCCAUAACAUGUGCCCGGGAACUAUCCACUAAAGAUGUUGGCGACCCCAAGCGUAUAGGUUACGGGGCAUUAAGUCCGAAACCCUUAUGCAACAAACUAAGAUAUAGGAGCUGUCUUGAGCCACGACCACCAAAGAAGAAGUGCCCUAAACCCUACAUCCGCGGUUGUAUUCCGUGAGAGAGCCGUCCGAUUUGCCGGCGUCGCCUGGGCUAAACAACGAUGCAAAUACGAAUGGAAUAAAUAAAAUAAAUGAGCUGAGCAGAAAAUGUCAGCUUCAGUUUAGUGUAUUGUAUGCAUAUAUGUAGUGUGUAUGUUGUUAUAUUUGCUUGUUGCAAUUGUACUUCCCAUCUAUCUAUCUUUCUAGCUAAUUUUCAUUAGCUACUGUCCUUUGCUUAUGUAAGAAUAUAUGGAGCCCACCGAAAAAUGGUUGUGAGUUUAUCUCCUCAUCUAAUAAAAAAUAUAAAAGUUUGUAUUUA